AGUAAAGCCUGAGUACUCCUGAAGGUUAUUUCUGUUUCAACAGUAAAGCCUGAGUACUCCUGAAGGUUAUUUCUGUUUCAACAGUAAAGCCUGUGUACUCCUGAAGGUUCUUUCUGUUUUAAAUGGUAAAAGCUGAAGAAUCAGAGAGCAGCACUACACGCUCCUAAUUUGAAUGUCUGCGUGUAUCUGUUUGAGUGCUCCUAUGUACGUACUGUAUGUAUGUACACGUGUGUGUUUUGUACUGAAAGCGUAAUCCUUGCUUUUGAAGGGGGAGAAUUGACAUGCUUGAUUGCACCAUUAAAGCUUAUUUAACUGAGAUUUAUUGCUGAAAAUAUGCCUAUAUGAAAAUUACAGUUAUAAAUUAUAGAUUCACGAAAUCAUGGAUACUAUUACAUUCAAGAGGAGAUUUAUUUAAUUUUGAAAUUAUUGAAUUAACCUUAGUAUUAUAAUAUCUCAUUUUCAUUUGAACUGUUCUUUAUUUCAAUAUUUUAUUUAGGAUUUUUCAAAUUUUUAGGAAUGUGAACAUUCUGAGAAAACUGCACUCAAAAAAUGUUUGUGCACAAAAAUCAUGGAAUCAAUCAAACAAAAGCAAAAGUUGAACUCUACACAAACUCAGUUGUUAUUAGUAUGGUUAUGAAUGUCUGCACAUUGGCAUGUCUGGCAGGUCCACACUGGCCYGGGGGUUUGGUUUGCUCUUCAGUGGACAUGGUGGUGGCAGCAUCAGCUGGUGACAUGGGUGCUCCUUGCCAACUGCACACACUCAUGGCAUUUUGCACAGUGGUAAUUGAUCUCUUUGCAUCCAUGGAAAAUAUAUCAUAUGUGAGUUAGCUCUCUGUUUGAAGACUUAUUUACAAUUAUUGCUGACUUCUUAUUAUACUUGACCGCCUUAAACUACUGUAAACAGCUUGUUUUUUUUCACUGAAAGUGUGUGUAACUGGACUGUUUAUUGACCUUUUUGAAAUGGAAAGGAAGCUGUGAAAUUACCCAAUAAGCAUCUCCGUUUACAUCAAUCCAACUUUGGUUACUUGAAAACAGGAAUGGUCCAAUGGGGGRAAAAACUUUCAAAUGUAGACGACAAUGAAGAGAGGGGAGGGGGGGAAAUAGAAAGAAAUCGGUUAAAAAGGACAAUCACUGUCUGAAAAAGAAGCAGAUUUUGAUUCAAAUAUAUUUGCUUCCCUGUGAGAUUUGGUUUAUUUUUCUGGAUUUAAGCAUUUAGCUUUGACAAUCAUAGUAUGUUUUGUUUUUUCUCAAGAGGAGUAAAUUCUAAGGCUGUUUAGUUUUGUACUUUUUUGGUGUGCUGUUGUUGAAAUUUUUCAAUUGUGUGCAAACUGCAAUAAAUUAUAAGAACCUUAAAACUCAA